UGCGGCUGGAUCACUUCCUUUCUAUGGAAGAAAAGAGAGAAAGAAGUAGGGAGUUGCAUUACUAUCUUGUUGUUAAAGGCAAGAAAAAACAUUUCCGGUGGCGAUGCGUCCUGGGGAGACACCCGUACCCAUCCCGAACACGACGGUUAAGACCAGGGCGGCCGAAAGUACUAUGCUGGAGACGGCAUGGGAGGAUAGGUGGCUGCCGGAUUAAUAAAAAAGGGCUUAUAGCUCAGCCGGUUAGAGCGCACGCCUGAUAAGCGUGAGGUCGGUGGUUCGAGUCCACUUAAGCCCACUGGGAGAGUACCUUUACAACCGAAUGACAGGCAAGUUUAUCGUCAUAGGGGAAAGGCCUACUUAAGCCCACUGCAGGACCAAUCAAAAUACAGGAUCCUGCAUAACAACAUGACACACGGGGGUGUAGCUCAGUUAGGAGAGCACCUGCCUUGCAAGCAGGGGGUCAUGAGUUCGAAUCUCACCAUCUCCACUAGGGAGUGAUCCCUUACCGUACCUUGAAAACCGAAUACUGAAAACACAUUUAAUCAGAGAAUCCGAUUAAAGACAUCGAACGGAUCUGCGAGAAGAUCGAAGAUCCGAGAUCCAGAAAGAACAAUGUAUGCAAGUACAGAUUCUGCCGAAGUGCAACGCUAUGCACGAGGCAGAGAGAACGUGGUUAAAAAUGGACCAAAAGUUCUAUAGGCUGACAGAGGGAAGAUGAGAGUCUUACCUCAAGAU
rnacentral:misc_RNA from 1 species